UACGAAGGGGGCUAGCGUUGUUCGGAUUUACUGGGCGUAAAGGGCGCGUAGGCGGCGUGACAAGUCACUUGUGAAAUCUCCGGGCUUAACCCGGAGCGGCCAAGUGAUACUGUCGUGCUAGAGUGCGGAAGGGGCAACUGGAAUUCUUGGUGUAGCGGUGAAAUGCGUAGAUAGUCAAGUGGAACACCAGCGGCGAAGGCGGCACUCUGGCUGGAACUGACGCUGAGGAGCGAAAGCGUGGGUAGCAAACAGG
rnacentral:rRNA from 1 species